UUGAACGCUGGCGGCAUGCCUUACACAUGCAAGUCGAACGGCAGCACGGGUGCUUGCACCUGGUGGCGAGUGGCGAACGGGUGAUUAAUACAUCGGAACAUGUCCUGUAGUGGGGGAUAGCCCGGCGAAAGCCGGAUUAAUACCGCAUACGAUCUACGGAUGAAAGCGGGGGACCUUCGGGCCUCGCGCUAUUGGGUUGGCCGAUGGCUGAUUAGCUAGUUGGUGGGGUAAAGGCCUACCAAGGCGACGAUCAGUAGCUGGUCUGAGAGGACGACCAGCCACAGGGGGAGAGAGACAGGGCCAAGACCCCUAGGGGAGGGAGAGGGGGGGAAUUUGGGAAAAGGGGGGAAGGGAUGAAGGAGAAAGGCCGGGGGUGGAAAGAAGGCGUGGGGGUGGAAAAGAAUUUUUGACAGGAAAGAAAACAAGGGACAAAAAAGGGAGGGGGAAUGAGGGUAAGGAAAAAAAAAGAACGGGCUAACUAGGGG
rnacentral:rRNA from 1 species